ACAAUUCACUAUGAUGUUUUUACAUAUGUUAGACUAAUGAAAUAAUUUGAUUGAAAAUUAAUAACUGAGUUUAU